rnacentral:tRNA from 1 species
CCUUCGGUAGCUCAGUUGGUAGAGCGGUGGACUGUAGUGGCAUUAAAUCAUAGAUAUCCAUAGGUCGCUGGUUCAAAUCCGGCCCGAAGGA